rnacentral:rRNA from 1 species
AGCGAACGCUGGCGGCAGGCCUAACACAUGCAAGUCGAGCGCCGUAGCAAUACGGAGCGGCAGACGGGAGAGUAACACGUGGGAACGUACCCUUUGGUUCGGAACAACCCAGGGAAACUUGGGCUAAUACCGGAUAAGCCCUCACGGGGAAAGAUUUAUCGCCGAAGGAUCGGCCCGCGUCUGAUUAGCUAGUUGGUGGGGUAAUGGCCCACCAAGGCGACGAUCAGUAGCUGGUCUGAGAGGAUGAUCAGCCUCACUGGGACUGAGACACGGCCCAGACUCCUACGGGAGGCAGCAGUGGGGAAUAUUGGACAAUGGGCGCAAGCCUGAUCCAGCCAUGCCGCGUGGGUGAUGAAGGCCCUAGGGUUGUAAAGCCCUUUCGGCGGGGAAGAUAAUGACGGUACCCGCAGAAGAAGCCCCGGCUAACUUCGUGCCAGCAGCCGCAGUAAUAC